rnacentral:tRNA from 1 species
CGCGGGGUAGAGCAGAGGUAGCUUGCCAGGCCCAUAACCUGGAGGUCGGAGGUUCGAUUCCUUCUCCCGCCA